rnacentral:rRNA from 1 species
CCGACGGGAGGCAGCAGUAGGGAAUUUUGCGCAAUGGGGGAAAACCUGACGCAGCAACUCCGCGUUAUCUAUUAAUCCCUUCUUUUUUUAAAUAUCUGUCAUUUGGGACGAAACCUGACGGUACCCACAGAGGAAGCACCGGCUAACUCCGUGCCAGCAGCCGCGGUAAUACGGGGGGUGCAAGCGUUGUCCGGAAUCAUUGGGCGUAAAGAGUUCGUAGGUGGCACGUUAAGUCUGGUGUUAAAGGCGGAAGCUCAACUUCCGUAGGGCACUGGAUACUGGCGAGCUUGAAUGCGGUAGAGGUAAAGGGAAUUCCUGGUGUAGCGGUGAAAUGCGUAGAUAUCAGGAGGAACAUCGGUGGCGUAAGCGCUUUACUGGGCCGUAAUUGACACUGAGGAACGAAAGCCGGGGUAGCAAAUGGGAUUAGAUACCCCAGUAGUC